UACGAAGGACCCAAGCGUUGUCCGGAUUUAUUGGGUUUAAAGGGUGCGUAGGCGGUUUGUUAAGUCAGUGGUGAAAGCUCCGAGCCCAACUCGGAAACUGCCAUUGAUACUGAUGAUCUUGAGUACAUUUGAGGUGGGCGGAAUGUGUCAUGUAGCGGUGAAAUGCUUAGAGAUGACACAGAACACCGAUUGCGAAGGCAGCUCACUAAACUGUAACUGACGCUGAGGCACGAAAGCGUGGGGAGCAAACGGG
rnacentral:rRNA from 1 species